rnacentral:tRNA from 1 species
CUGGGCGUGGCUCAGUCUGGUCACAGAAAUCGGCCUGGAACCGAGAUGCCGUUGGUUCGAAUCCAACCGCCCAGACCA